GAGCUUCAGCAGCACAUAUACAAAAACUGGAAUGAUUCUGAGAAGAUCAGCACAACCUCUGUACAAGCGUGACACGUGAAUUCAUGAAGCAUUCCAUUACUUU
ensembl:snRNA U6 U6 spliceosomal RNA